CUCCUUACAGAGUCUCUGGAGGAGAAAUCACCCCAGCCUAUCCAACUUGGAGACUCCUGAUAGCCUCCAUUGUGGUGUCCAAAUAGUGAACAGCAGGAGAAGGUGGGGCAGAGUUGCCUGCACCUUGGAUACAUAUUUGACUCUGUUUAUGACUCAUGUCCCUUUGGAACAGGGCCUCCCUCAGGUGCAAAGUUUACAGGCCACACCUCCUUGGGAGCUGCCUUAAAGGGCAGCAUCCCCAUAGGGCAGAUGUCUGAGAGGACACAGAAGCCCUGCUUUCCUGUCACCUACAGGACGCACAGGCAGGCCAUGGCAGCCCUGGCAGCUGGAAUAUCCAAGCAACGUGCAGCUGCUCAGGGCCUUGGCUCUAACCAGAAUGCUGUGAAGUAUCUGGGCCAGGACUUCGAGACCCUGAGAAAGCAAUGCUUGAACUCAGGGGUCCUAUUUAAAGACCCGGAAUUCCCGGCAUGUCCGUCAGCUUUGGGCUACAGGGAUCUUGGACCAGGCUCUGCAGAAACUCAAGGCAUCAUAUGGAAGCGACCCACGGAAUUGUGUUCCAACCCUCAGUUUAUCGUUGGUGGAGCCACACGCACAGACAUCCGCCAGGGGGGUCUUGGAGACUGUUGGCUUCUGGCAGCCAUUGCCUCCCUCACCUUGAAUGAAAAGCUGCUUUAUCGAGUGGUUCCUAGAGACCAGAGCUUCCAGAAGAACUAUGCUGGCAUUUUUCAUUUCCAGUUCUGGCAGUAUGGAGAGUGGGUGGAGGUGGUCAUUGAUGACCGGCUCCCCACCAAGAAUGGACAGCUGCUCUUCCUACACUCCGAAGAAGGCAAUGAGUUCUGGAGUGCUCUGCUGGAGAAAGCCUAUGCCAAGCUCAAUGGUUCGUAUGAGGCUCUUGCUGGAGGCUCCACAAUUGAGGGGUUUGAGGAUUUCACGGGUGGCAUCUCUGAGUUUUAUGACUUGAGGAAGCCUCCGGGCAAUCUGUACUACACCAUCCAGAAGGCCCUGCGCAAAGGCUCUCUGCUGGGCUGCUCCAUUGAUGUCUCAAACGCAGCCGAAGCAGAAGCCACCACCAGGCAAAAGCUGGUUAAGGGCCACGCAUACUCUGUGACUGGAGUCGAAGAGGUGGAUUUCCGUGGCCUCCCAGAGAAGCUGAUCAGGUUGAGGAACCCGUGGGGUGAAGUGGAGUGGACGGGAGCCUGGAGUGAUAGUGCACCUGAGUGGAAUUACAUAGAUCCACAGAAGAAGGGAGAACUGGACAAGAGAGCAGAAGAUGGGGAGUUCUGGAUGUCCUUUUCGGAUUUCUUGAAGCAGUUCUCCCGACUAGAGAUAUGCAACCUGUCCCCAGACUCUCUGAGCAGUGAGGAGAUACACAAAUGGAACCUGGUACUCUUCAACGGCCGCUGGACACGGGGUUCUACAGCCGGGGGCUGCCAGAACUACCCAGCCACUUACUGGACCAACCCCCAGUUUAAAAUCCAUUUGGACGAGGUGGAUGAGGACCAGGAGGAGGGCACCAGUGAACCCUGCUGUACAGUGCUGCUGGGUCUGAUGCAGAAGAAUCGCAGACGUCAGAGGAGGAUCGGCCAGGGCAUGCUCAGCAUAGGCUAUGCUGUCUACCAGAUUCCCAAGGAGCUGGAGAAUCACACCGAUGAGCACCUGGGCCGGGAUUUCUUCCAGGGCCGCCAGCCCUCCACCUGCUCCAGCACCUACAUGAACCUUCGAGAGGUGUCCAGCAGGGUCCAACUCCCCCCAGGACAGUACCUGGUGGUGCCAUCCACCUUUGAGCCCUUCAAGGACGGUGACUUCUGCCUGAGGGUGUUCUCGGAGAAGAAGGCCCAGGCUCUCCACAUCCCCGUGACAUGGAUGGAGAAGAUGAGCACUUCUGGAGCCUGUCUGAGGAGUUUGCGGACAAGGAUUCUGAAAUCAGUGCUCACCAGCUCAAGAGGGUCCUGAAUGGAUUGCUUUCUAAACGAACAGACAUGAAAUUUGACGGAUUCAACAUCAACACUUGCAGAGAAAUGAUCAGCCUGCUGGAUGGUGAUGGGACAGGAAGCCUGCGACCGGUGGAGUUCAAGACUCUCUGGCUGAAGAUCUGCAAGUAUCUGGAGAUCUACCAAGAAAUGGACCACAGCCGUGCAGGGACCAUUGAUGCUCACGAGAUGAGGACAGCUCUCAAGAAAGCAGGUUUCACCCUCAACAACCAGGUGCAGCAGACCAUUGCCACGAGGUAUGCAUGCAGCAAGCUUGGUGUUGACUUUGACGGCUUUGUGGCUUGUAUGAUCCGCCUGGAGAUCCUGUUCAAAUUGUUCAGACUCUUGGAUAAGGACCAGAAUGGCAUUGUACAGCUCUCCCUGGCUGAGUGGCUGUGCUGUGCACUGGUCUGACCCUCUGGACAUCAACAACUUCCCUGCUUCCAACCUGUCUCUUUGCAAUCUUAUGAACGUGUAUCCUCAAGUGUCAUUUACUGACUGUUGUAUUGUCCAGCCAAUCACUGAUCCCGAGACACUGGCUUUUCCCGAUAGAGCAGGCUGGGGAGCCCCAUAUCCUCAGUAGCACCGAGCUACGAGCUAUUUGAGCUGAUCCCAGGGCCCAGCAGAAGGAAAGCAAUCAAUUAAAGUUGUGGGCCAGGAUGGUUUCUGCCUUCCUCUGGAGAUAUACCAUGUGAAGACAACCUGGGCUUCAAUGCUAUGGGAAAAGACUUGGCUUGAAGCUCCUGCUGGAAGCAAGACUGCUUCUGAGGGCUCUUGGGAGAAGGGCAGAGUUUCAGUAACGUGGAGAAAGGGCACAGGCCAGGAGUAGGGGAGAUGAGAACUGCCCUCCUUAGAGACAGGGAAUGUAGUCAGCUGAUAAGCAGCUGGAGGACUGAUGCAGUUCAGGUGAGUUUUGCCUACUUGUGAACACAGGGCUUUCUGCUGCUGGUGAGAAAAUUGAGACCACAGCUGUAGCAUCUCUGCGUGUACACAGAUUCAUUAGCUAUUGCUGUGACAAAACACCUUGAGCAGGGUAACUUAGAGAACAAUGAGCUUAUCUGGGUUCAUGGCUCCAGAGCAGAGAGUGAAGUGAUGCUGUCAGAAGCAGGAAGCCGAGGGUUUUCAUCUUGAACCACAAGCAGUUUAAGUUCUGGAAGCCCACCCCCAGGGACAUACUUUCUCCAGAAAGGCCAUACCCCCCUAACCCACCAGGGACUAAGUAUUCAAAUGCCUGCGACUACUGAGAGCAUCUCAUUCAAGUGGCCACCACAGGAGAGCACUGUGUCUCAAUACCACCUUCAAAACAAAGUAUAAGGGAGCUGGUACCCUGACUCCUGUAUUAGCCUGACUGAGGACUAGUUUUCUGUUUUAGCAGAAGAGUCUGAUGAGUGUUGUUUGUAGGAGUUUGACCAGAAAGCAUGGUGAUUCACCAGAAGGCUUUCAACUGACUUCAGAUCUCCUAGAUUCAGUAGGGGGAGCAGCAGCGCUAGUUGCUUCUCACUGUGACAAAAUGAUACAAUGUGACGGGAUGGAGGCAACUCAAGCGAGGACCGUUUAUUCUGGCUCACCCUUUUCCGAAGUUUUAGACCCCCAGGAGUGAGGGCAUAGAGAGUCCAUGACAGUGGGAGCAGAGGACUUAGCUCCAUACAGCGGUAGACAAGGAGCCCAGCACGCCAGCCAGUACCCGAAGUGGGUGGACCAUCCCUACUGUCUCGCAUCCACAAGCUCAUCCACCUCAGAAAAGUCCCAUAGCCUUCCUCACAAUACUUCCACAAGCUGCAGCCUGGACAUUCAAACCAUGACCUUUUGGGGACAUUUUACCUUCAAGUAAAAAUAUUCUGCCCCUGCUCCGUGAAGCACAGGCCAUCUCAGGACACAAAAGACGUUCAGUCCAGUUUCAAAAGUUCCCAUAGUUGCAACAGUCCCAACCCUGUCGGAAAGUUUAACAUUUCUUCUGAGACUUGAGGCAAACUCUUAACUGUGAGCAUCUACAAAAAUAAACAGGUUAGAUACUUUCCGUACAGAGUGGUACAGAGGGAGGGAUGAGACGCCAGUAAGGAGAGAUUAGACCAAAGCCAAGCAUGGAAACAGUAAAUUACAUAGGUCCGUGUCUAGCAAAUGGGGCUUAUGAUGACAUCAUCUGAGCUUCAAGGGACUGGGGUGGCCCCUCCUCUUCCGUCCCUGCUGCCUGAGUACUCAUGGCGUAUGGGAGACCAGAACUUCCUUCCUUAGAGACUAGGAAUGCUCUUAGCUGAUAAGCAGCUAAGAGAGCUAAUGUGGGUCAGGUGAGUUUUACUUACAAGUGAACACCGGGCUGUGUGCUGCUGGUGAGAAAAUUGAGGGCCACCUCCAAUUACUGCCUAUAGCUUUUAUCAGCAGAUGUCACCUGCUCUUGGUGUUUUCAGUAUCCUGAAGUCGGCACUGAAACUUGGGCCCCACCUCAACAGCCUCGUCAGGAGGUCCUGUGGGGAGCCCAACGCUGCUACCCGUUUCCUGGUCUUAGGCUUUUCUCUGGCAUCUCAUAGCAAAGCAUUCCAUCGCUAAGAUUAUACUUUUUGUGCUUGAAAACUCAGCGCCAUGCAGACGCAGAUGACACUGAUUUCUGCUUCCAACUCAGGAUAUAGCCAGGAUUCUAAUGACCAUGGCUGCGGUGGCUUCUGCAUACCCAAAAGGCUUAGCCUGGGGAAGUAAUUCCUGAGUACCCCUUUAGGCACUCCUUUAUAGGAACUCUCAUUUUAAAUAAAGGUCUUUCAAAUGAGUUUA